GCCCCAGUACUCCAACUUGGUUAGAGAGGCCGCUCUCAAACAGCGGACAGUGUGGGUUCGAAUCCCACCUGGGGCA
rnacentral:tRNA from 2 species